GAUGAACGCUGGCGGCGUGCUUAACACAUGCAAGUCGAACGAAGCACUUAAGAUUGGUUCUUCAGAUGACGUCUUUUGUGACUUAGUGGCGGACGGGUGAGGAACGCGUGGGUAACCUGCCUCACACAGGGGGAUAACAGUUAGAAAUGACUGCUAAUACCGCAUAACCCGAUAGGAUCGCAUGAUCCAUACGGAAAAGAUUUAUCGGUGUGAGAUGGACCCGCGUCUGAUUAGCUAGUUGGGGAGGUAACGGCCCACCAAGGCGACGAUCAGUAGCCGGUCUGAGAGGGUGAACGGCCACAUUGGGACUGAGACACGGCCCAAACUCCUACGGGAGGCAGCAGUGGGGAAUAUUGCACAAUGGGCGAAAGCCUGAUGCAGCGACGCCGCGUGAGUGAAGAAGUACUUAGGUAUGUAAAGCUCUAUUACCGGGGAAGAAAAUGACGGUACCUGAAUAAGAAGCCCCGGCUAACUACGUG
rnacentral:rRNA from 1 species